GUAUCCCCGUAGUGUAUCUAAUACUCCUACUCCUCGGGAAGUGCAGCCCGGUGCACAACACUUUAUAGCUUUUGAACUCCCAGAGUCCAGAAUACACUCUCCGUGUUUUUUUUGUUUUUGUUUUUGUUUUUUGUUUUUUUUUCAGCCCGUAGACUCUGUUCCUCCAAUGUUCCAUCCCUGUGCUAGGAGCUGGGUAUGAAGCAGUGAAUUAGAGAAUCACGUUUUCUGUUCUCCCAAAACUCAGUCGAAUGGGGAACAGAGAACAGUUACCGGGUCAUUACAGCCCAGUGUGGUCUCAGCUGUGCUGGGGAAAGCGCACAGGAGAAGCCUCACUUUCCCGCCCCCUGGUCGGGGAGGCUUUUUCUUGAUGACGUUGGUGGCUCCCUUCAGAGAACACAAAUCCCUACUGUAUUACCUGCAGUGCAGAAAAAUGACCAGCAGGUGGCAGUGGCGACACAAAAGAAUUCCCCCAUGAACCUUUCCUCGGAAAUUUUCUUUCAUAAAUUAACAGAUGAAUUAAUACAACAAAUAUUCACUGGACACCUUCUGUGUGCCAGGCAUUGUAUGCGCCGGGCAUACAAUGAUGAGCAAGGCGAACAUGGUCCCUGCCUUCAUGUAACUGAACACUAAUUCAGUCCUGUAUGUAUUCCAGAAGUAUUUCCUGAUACCAAACCUGUGCUAAACACUGUCCUCGCCCUGGGGAGAUGGAAGGUGCAUAAAGGAUAAAUCGUUAGACCUGGGUGUAAAGGAGGAUAUUGACAGCCGACCUAGGAGCAGGACCCCCAGGCUAAGUGCUAGAAUGGCCUUGGGUUAUCCUGUGCCCUGGCUCCGCCCCUAUGGUAUUUUAAUUUAAUUAGUCACCCAGAGUAUUCUUUUUAAAACUCUCCAGGAGAUUUUAAAGUUUGGCAAGGGCUCAGAACCACUGGUUUGGUGUCCUGGCAUGGUUAACAUAUUAACUCAUCAUUUAAUUAAUUUCCAAAGUAUUUGCACAACCAUUCUGUAUUAGAUGAUUUGCAUAUAUUAUUUCUAAUCCUUCUGCAAAGUCCUUGAAGGUAAUAACAAUCAUGACCAAAACAGCCAACAUUUACAAUAUUUACUGAGGGCAUUCUCUGAGCCAGAUUCCAUUCUGAGUGUUUUAUAUCUAUGAACUCAUUUAGUUAUCACAACAACCCUAAGACACAGAUAUUAUAUCUUUAUUCCUACUUUAUUUUAUUUUUAUUUUUGAGACAGGGUCUCAUUCUGUCACCCAGGCUGGAGUGCAGUGGCGUGAACACAGCUCACUUCAGCCUUGACCUCCCUUUCAAGAGAUCCUCCCACCUUAGCCUCCCGAGUCGCUGGGACCACUGGCGUGCACCAUCAUGCCUGGCUAAUUUAAAAAUUUUUUAUGAAGACAGGGUCCUGAGGACCCUGAGGUUACCCAGGCUGGUCCUGAACUCCUGACCUCAAGUGAUCCUCCUGUCUCGUUCUUUCAAAGUGUUGAGAUUACAGGCAUGAGCCAUCAUGCCUGGUCAUCAUCUCCAUUUUGUAUCCAAGGAGAAUGCAGCGCAGAACGGUUGGGUAACGUGUUAAAGGUCACAAGCUAGUUAGUGGUAUAAAUAAGAUUCAAAUCCAGGUGGUCCAAGUCCGGUCUUAACCACUGCACCAUGCAGCCAUUUUACAGAUGAGAAAACUGAGGCUCAGGUGGAACUCACUGGUGAAAAGUCCCCUCAAGCAGGAAGUGGCUGAGCUGCAAUUUGAGCUGAGGAUUCUCUAGCUUUCAAGUCAGCCUGAUUCAAUUUUGACCCAGUCCUCAGUAAGAGUUUGAAAACAAUGUCAUAUGGAAUUUUUCCCCAGCAGGAACCAGCUCUUGGAAGGCAUUUGUGUGUAUCUUCAGCACCUAGAAGAUGGCAGAAGAGUCAAAGGAAUAGGAACUUGAAUUUGAAACUGGAGGCCUGUGUCUGCUGCACCACCUUGAGUGAGUUGCUUAUGUCUCCAUACUCCAUUUUUUUCUGCCCAUAAACAGUCUGGACCUUAGCCGAGACAUGGCUAGGCAGUGACAUGUAGUCACACUUUGAAAUAAGAUCAUCUAAGGCAGGUUUUCUCAACUUAGACAGGUUUUACAUUUGGAAUGGAUAAUUCUUUGUGGUGGGGGCUGUCCUGGGCACUGGAGGAUAUUGAGCAGCAUCCUGGGCCCUGACCUGCUAGAAGCCGGUAGCACCCCUCUUCCCUGACAAGUUGUGACAACUCAUAAUUUCUCUAGAAAUUGUAUUUACACAUGUCCCCUGGAAAGCAAAAUCGCCUCUGGUUGAAAACCACUGGUCGAAUGUUUUAAACAAUUCGGGUUGCAACUGGUGUAACUCCAGCCGUUCUCUCCCAGGAAUGCAAAUGAAUUGGACCGAUGGCCUUAUAGAUCUACUCACGAACCCACUCUCGUUUCUGUUUUCUUUUUCUAUUUUCCCCUCUCUUUAACAAUAGAAGAAAAUGUACAUUUCUGGAGCACAUUUGAACAAAAAGCUCGAAAUCAAGUCCCCUAGUAAUAGUUACAAAUGGUUUGCAAUAUGCCCUACAAGCAGUGGAGCUUUGAAACAGAGUGGUGAUUAGCAGCCAAUGUUAACUGACGACUUGCUAUGUGCCAAGCACACCAUUCAUUAAAAGCCUUUAUAUUUAUGAUUGGCAUGUUCGUUUUUCAAUCUUUUUGGUGAGAAAGCUGGCUUGUAUAAAGUCAUGGUGCUUGUAAGAGGCAGGGCUGGGGUACAAACCUGGACGUGCUGGUUUUUAGUGCUGUCCAUUUAAUGGUUCUGCUAUAACAAAGGCCCUUCUUUUACCCAAAUCCCCUAGGGUUAUCAUGGAUUUCUGUGAGAGACCGCUUUCCCAGAGACAGAGAUUUCUAAAUGAGGACGGGAACUCAGCUAACACUGGACAUGCUGGCCAAGAUGUGGCCACAGGAGACGGCUCAACAGUGGAAGCUCCUACGGUGGCCACAGUCUGGCCACAGCACCUGUGGGCUCUGUCCAGGCUGGGAAAUCCCUGUGUCUCGUAUCCCAGGUGUUCUGGGCUCAGGGCUGUGAGAACCAGGGCCUCCCGGGGAAUCGCUGUCUCUUAAGCAAGCUAAGUGGCUCCUGGAGAGCCACUCAUAAAACCCUUGCCGGAUUUGUCAGAUUCUUUUUAGUUUUGGUGGUGUGGUUUAUGUCUUUGGGAUGGUUACCUCAGGAGUCAUCCACCACGUCCUUAUCAAAGAGGGGAAGUUGCAACAAAGCAGAGGUGUGAUAAAGACCACAUUCAUUUUGCUAACAAUAUCAACGACAGUAAUAGUAACAUCAUUUGUCGAGCCUCCUGGGCUUGGGGGAUUCAAGGAUCAACUGGAGACAAUCCUAGCAGGUGAGUUAUGUGUUUAUUCUAUAUAUAUAUUUUAAAAUUCUUUCUCUUUCUUACUCUAGGGAAUGUGAUUCUACAAACAUAUAAACAGAUCAUUUCAAUAAACUGCAGCAGCUGUGGUGACAGAUGUCACUGUAGGUUCCAUGGGAAUUCUGAGGACAGAAACACAACCCGGCCUAGGAAAUCAGGGAGGACUUCCUGGAGGAGGUGGUGCUGACGAUUCAUUGUGAUUUCCUUCAUAGACCUGUCUCUCCACCCUCCUUUCCAAAUAGGCCCCAGGCUCCAUGAGAAUGUGGGUCAUAUCUGUUUAUACCUUACUGUUUUUCCAGGGGCUAGUGCCAGGGUUCCCAAACUUUCACCAAGGUGACCCAGGAUGCCACCAGGAACUCACAGGGGGUGCUGUGGGAUUUUUAAAAAAAGUUCUGAGGGCCGGGCACAGUGGCGCAUGGCUGUAAUCCCAGCACUUUGAGAGGUCAAGGCGGGUGGAUCACAAGGUCAGGAGACCAUCCUGGCUAACACGGUGAAACCCCAUCUCUACUAAAAAUACAAAAAAUUAGCCAGGCGUGGUGGCGGGCACCUGUAGUCCCAGCUACUCUGGAGCCUGAGGCAGGAGAAUGGCGUGAACCCGGGAGGUGGAGCUUGCAGUGGGCUAAGAUUGCGCCACUGCACAUCGGCCUGGGCAACAGAGCCAGACUCCGUCUCAAAAAAAAAAAAAAGUUCUGAGGAAACACAAUGAUGUGUUGGACCCUUGUGAACUACCAGCUCAAGAUAGUUCACCGUUUCAACAUUAGAUCACGUCACCUUUGUUUUGGUGAUGACUCAUCAUUGCAAAGCUGGAUUUUUUUGUGGUGCUCGUGCUAACUGUGACAAAAUCAAUGUGGAACAGGAAAUUAGGGUGGCGAAGUCCCAUCUGAUCCUAACGUUUAAGAAGAUUUGCACAGCCCAACGGGUAUACACAUCCUCGUAGCAGCAAUUGUCAUUAUUAUUAUUAUUAUUAUUAUUAUUAUUAUUAUUAUUAUUAUUAUUAUUUGAGACAGAAUCUUGCUCUGUCUCCCAGCCUGGAGUGCAGUGGCAUGAUCUCAGCUCACUGCAACCUCCGCCUCCCGGGUUCCAGCGAUUCUCCCGCCUCAGCCUCCCAGGUAGCUGGGAUUACAGGCACGUGCCACCACACCCAGCUAAUUUUUGUAUUUUUAGUAGAGACGGGGUUUCACUAUGUUGGCCAGGCUGGUCUCGAACCCCUGACCUCAGGUAAUCUGCCCGCCUCAGCCUCCCAAAGUGCUAGGAUUACAGGUGUAAGCCAUCACGCCCAGCCAGCAAUUGUCAUUAUUUAAUAAUAAAAAAAACCGUUUUUCUUUUAAUGUAUGUGCAUUACUUUUUCAAAUGGCUACUAUGCUGUGAAGAGAUAACUACUCAUUCAGUUGUUUGUACCUAACUGUUUAAUAAAUGGAACUGGUAUUUAAUAAAUGGAAAUGGUAUUUUGGCCUAGGAAAUCUGUGAAAAAAUUCCUGAGACACCAAGGGUGUCAUGAGUUGAGAAAGUUUGGGAACCUCUGUCCUAGCGUGUGCCUGCAUAUAGGAGGCCUGAACAACUGAGUAAGCUGAAUGACUGAGUGAGUUGCUCCCAACAAUCCUUCUUGGUAAAGGGUAUUAUUUUCUUUCACAGAUGGGGGCUCUGAGGCCCAGAGAGGGCAAGUUACUUGCCCAAGGUCACUCAGCAGAGCUGGAGGGUGUGUCUGACUUUGACACCCAGACUCUUCCCUUUAUCUCUGCCUGACCUGUCUGUUCUUAAAGUGCCCUGGGGUAAAUGGACUAGGAUUAAAAAGAUAUGGCUUUCAGUCCCAGGGGACCAAACUAUGGCUUUGGGCAAGUGACUGGGCAAGAGGCUGUAGACAACCAGAGCUUAUACAGUUUUCUUUUCUUUUCUUUUCUGUUUCUAUGUUGUUGAGACAGGGUCUCCCUCUGUUGCCCAGGCUGGAGUGCAGUGGCGUGAUCUCUGCUCACUGCAACCUCCGCCACCUGAGCUCAAGUGAUUUUCCUGCCUCGGCCUCCUGAGUAGCUCAGAUUGCAGGUGCUCACCAUCAAGUCUGGCUAAUUUUUGUAUUUUUAGUAGAGACGGGGGUUUCACCAUGUUGGCCACACUGGUCUGGAACUCCUGACCGCAAGUGAUCCUCCUGCCUCAGCCUCCCACAAGUGUUGGGAUUACAGGCGUGAGCCACCUCACCACUGGGCCCAGGGGCUUAUGCAGUUUUCUGUCUGCUUCAUUAACUUCUUGGUGGAUCUUUGUCCACUCUUAAGCACCAGAGGUUUGCCCAAAAGCUGAACUGCAGAGUGAUGAGGUUGGGAAGAUGCUUUUGGGUUUAGUCAGGCUUGAGUUAGAAUUCUGUUCUUCCUUUCUGUUGUGUGACCUCAGGAAAGCUACUCACCCUCUCCAGUCCUUCUUUGCCUGCUUUUAAGUGGACAGGCAUUCACCUGUGCGAUUUCCGUGAGGGUGAAGAGUGUUAGUGUUGGGGAAAAGGUCAGCCUACUGAAGGGGCCCAUCAAAUGGGUGCUGUUCCCUUUGUUCAGUCGACAAAACGUUUCAAAGCUGUUUUAUGUCUGACAACCUCAACCUUAAAAAUGCCUUCAGAACCUAGACUGCAUCCUCCCUCUUACUCAGGAGCCGCGCUGCCAGAAUCGGACCAUCUCUCGCCUCCUGCGUUAUCUCCCAUCAGCCUCACCCGCUUGUCACGUCGCUGCCACCACACGCAGGGCUCUUCUUCAGGCUUUUGGGAGUACCGCGUGUCUCCUGACACCCCGCGUGGCUCGUGAACUCAUUAGCAUGGGUGUAAGGGAAGCCGUCUCUACUCAGCACUGCAGAUCCAAUGCUGAGAUUUCAGGGAAAAGCAUUCCCGAAGGGAGGGAGGGAGGCUUGCGUCUUGGAAAUCCAGCAGCAGCUGCCGCAGCUCAGAGGGUCUUUAGAGACUGGGUCUCAUUGGUGAAGUGCUUUUUCUUUUUUAAAAAAAUGAUGCCUCCACCUUUCAGUAUUUUAAUAGAAGCUUUUAUUUUAAGCUUUUCAUCUCUGGGUCUCUGCAGCUGGAGUUACUAAAGUGGCUGCUUCUGAUCGCUCUUGCAGUCACUAGAAGGAAAUGGGAAUGACACUGACGUCCUAGGGCUGCCCUUGACAAAGGACCACAAACCGGGAGGCUUAGGACAGCAGAAACUUCUUGGCUGGGAGGCUGGAAGUCCAAAAUCAAGGUGUCAGCAGGGCCACACUCCCUCUGAAUGCUGUGGGCGGUUGGGGGGGGUCCUUCCUUCGUGCUCCCUGGCUUGCAGCUGCAUCACUCUAAUCUCUCCCUCUGUCACCCUGUGGCCUUCUCUGUAUCUGUGUCCCCAUCUGUGUCCAGAUUUCCCUCUUCUUACAAAGACACCAGUCAUUGGAUCAACACCCAUCUUAAUCCAGUGCGACCUCAGCUUAACUUGACCACAUCUGCAAAGAUUCUAUUUCCAAUCAAAUCCACAGUUACAGAUACUGUGGGUUAGAACUUUGAAGUUCUAAUCAAGGUCACAGUUACAGAUACCAUGGGUUAGGAUGUCAAAGACGCUACGUCCAAUCAAGGUCACAGUUACAGAUACCAUGGGUUAGGAUGUCGAAGACACUCUGUCCAAUCAAGGUCACAGUUACAGAUACUGUGGGUUAGGAUGUCGAAGACACUGUGUCCAAUCAAGGUCAUGGUUACAGAUACUGUGGGUUAGAACUUUGAAGUUCUAAUCAAGGUCACAGUUACAGAUACCAUGGGUUAGGAUGUUGAAGACACUGUGUCCAAUCAAGGUCACGGUUACAGAUACUGUGGGUUAGAACUUUGAAGUUCUAAUCAAGAUCACAAUUACAGAUACCAUGGGUUAGGAUGUCAAAGACGCUAGGUCCAAUCAAGGUCACAGUUACAGAUACUGUGGGUUAGAACUUUGAAGUUCUAAUCAAGGUCACAAUUACAGAUACCAUGGGUUAGGAUGGCGAAGACGCUAUGUCCAAUCAAGGUCGCAGUUACAGAUACUGUGGGAAUCAAAGAGUUAAUGCAUGCGCCAUUCUUAGAAUGACACCUGGCCUACAGUAAGUGCUCAAGUUAAAUUCUUGGUUCUUCAACACUAUCAAGACCUCACUGUGGCUUCUGGAGUUUGAACUGGCUGUAUUCCUAAUGGAGUUGUU